rnacentral:lncRNA from 1 species
UGGGAUUGAUAAUGUCUUUGAUUAUUUUCAACAUGGUUGAAAGAUUAUGUAAGUGUUACAAUUUUUUCAUAACGCUAUAAUUAUAAGAAAGUAUAGGUUUGAUUAAUGUAAUUUUCUACUCUCGACUAUUUAUAGGUUUAUGAUACAAGAAAUGGUCAAUUUAACCAAUUUUUUAAGGAUUUAUCUUGGGGACCCAUUAAGAUCUAUUCUAUGGACAAGUACACAAUGAAUGGUUU